rnacentral:rRNA from 1 species
GAUCAUGGCUCAGAACGAACGCUGGCGGCAGGCCUAACACAUGCAAGUCGAGCGCCCCGCAAGGGGAGCGGCGGACGGGUGAGUAACGCGUGGGAACGUACCCUUUGCUACGGAAUAGCCUCGGGAAACUGGGAGUAAUACCGUAUGUGCCCUUCGGGGGAAAGAUUUAUCGGCAAAGGAUCGGCCCGCGUUGGAUUAGGUAGUUGGUGGGGUAAUGGCCUACCAAGCCGACGAUCCAUAGCUGGUUUGAGAGGAUGAUCAGCCACACUGGGACUGAGACACGGCCCAGACUCCUACGGGAGGCAGCAGUGGGGAAUCUUAGACAAUGGGCGCAAGCCUGAUCUAGCCAUGCCGCGUGAGCGAUGAAGGCCUUAGGGUUGUAAAGCUCUUUCAGUGGGGAAGAUAAUGACUGUACCCACAGAAGAAGCCCCGGCUAACUCCGUG